rnacentral:rRNA from 1 species
UGAAUACGAGACGCUAAGGCGUCGAAGUAGUGUAUGUCAUACUUCCAAGAAAAGCUUGCACUGUCAUAGAUAAAAAACGCCUGUACCAUAACCGAUACAGGUGGGUAGGUAGAGUAUACUAAGGGGCGCGAGAUAACUCUCUCUAAGGAACUCGGCAAAAUAACUCCGUAACUUCGGGAGAAGGAGUGCCUUAUUCGUAAGGUUGCAAUAACAAGAUCCAAGCAACUGUUUAUCAAAAACACAGGUCUCCGCUAAGUCGUAAGACGAUGUAUGGGGGCUGACGCCUGCCCAGUGCCAGAAGGUUAAAGAAGUUGGUUAGCAAUUGCGAAGCUGAUAACUGAAGCCCUGGUGAACGGCGGCCGUAACUAUAACGGUCCUAAGGUAGCGAAAUUCCUUGUCGGGUAAGUUCCGACCCGCACGAAAGGCGUAAUGAUUUGGAUACUGUCUCGGAGAGGGGCUCGGUGAAAUAGACUUGUCUGUGAAGAUGCGGACUACCUGCACCAGGACAGAAAGACCCUAUGAAGCUUUACUGUAACUUGAAAUUGAAAUUGGACUUUAUUCGCGCAGUAUAGGUGGGAGGCGUUGAUUAUAAUCUUGUGGGAUUAUUGGAGCCAUCAGUGAGAUACCACUCUUGUAAUGUUAGAUUUCUAACUUUGAAUCAUUAUCUGGUCAAAGAACAGUUUCAGGCGGGCAGUUUGACUGGGGCGGUCGCCUCCUAAACGGUAACGGAGGCGUACAAAGGUUUCCUCUGAACGGUUAGAAAUCGUAUCUAGAGUGUAAAGGCAUAAGGAAGCUUGACUGUGAGACCUACAAGUCGAGCAGGGACGAAAGUCGGUCUUAGUGAUCUGACGGUACUGAGUGGAAAGGCCGUCACUCAACGGAUAAAAGUUACUCUAAGGAUAACAGGCUGAUCUCCCCCAAGAGUUCACAUCGACGGGGAGGUUUGGCACCUCGAUGUCGGCUCAUCGCAUCCUGGGGCGGUAGUACGUCCCAAGGGUUGGGCUGUUCGCCCAUGAAAGCGGUACGCGAGCUGGGUUCAAACGUCGUGAGACAGUUCGGUCCAUAUCCGGUGUAGGCGUUAGAAUAUUGAGAGGAGCCUUCUUUAGUACGAGAGGACCGAGAAGGACAUACCUCUGGUGUACCAGUUAUCGUGCCAACGGUAAACGCUGGGUAGCUAUGUAUGGAGUGGAUAACCGCUGAAAGCAUCUAAGUGGGAAGCCCACCUCAAGAUAAGUAUUCUCAU